CCCAGACUCCUACGGGAGGCAGCAGUGAGGCCUCUUGGUCAAUGGGCGGGCGCCUGAACCAGCCCAGUCGCGUGCGGGCUGACGGCCCUAUGGGUUGUAACCCUCUUUUGCCGGGGAGCACAGUGCCGCCCGUGUGCGGUUUGGCGAGUACCUGGAGAAAAAGCAUCGGCUACCUCCGUGCCAGCAGCCGCGGUAAUACGGAGGAUGCGAGCGUUAUCCGGAUUUAUUGGGUUUAAAGGGUGCGUAGGCGGACGCUUAAGUCAGCGGUAAAAUUGCGGGGCUCAACCUCUUCGAGCCGUUGAAACUGGGUGCCUUGAGUGGGCGAGAAGUACGCGGAAUGCGUGGUGUAGCGGUGAAAUGCAUAGAUAUCACGCAGAACUCCGAUUGCGAAGGCAGCAUACCGGCGCUCAACUGACGCUCAUGCACGAAAGUGUGGGUAUCGAACAGGAUUAGAUACCCCGGUAAAC
rnacentral:rRNA from 1 species